CCAGGUCCUCCUCCACCUCCCCAGCUCCUCCUCCACCUCCCCAGGUCCUCCUCCACCCUUCUUCAGAAUCAAAGCUCCAUCCAGAGAUCUCUGUGUGAAUCAAAGAUGAGUUACUGCGUUGACGAAGUACAGGUCCACGGAGAAAAGCCGUGACUUUACGUCCGUGCAGACGGGACGGUGGAACGGUUCUACAGUCUGCUGUUGAGUCUGACGCGGGAAACUGUGGUGACGCUGCCUUGGUGCCAUCUGCUGGUUGGAUUCUGACACUUCACCGUGAGCACUGACUCUCCCAGACGAACCCCCUCCUCACCCUCUCUCCCCCUUUUGACCCACUUCUUUCUCCACUCCACUCUUCCGUGAAGACGACGUGACCUGGACACGGUGAGUGUUGACCGGAUCACUCUCUUCUUCUACUCCCUUCCUUUCGUACUCUCCCUAAAUUUUAGUCUGAUAGGUUAGAGUGUAACUCUCUCUCUCUCUCUCUCUCUCGUGACUAAUAUGUAUGAGAGGGGUGUCCAACAUACGGUCCGCGGGCCAAAACCGGCCCG